rnacentral:rRNA from 1 species
GACAGAGGUGCCGAGCGUUAGGCGGAAUUACUGGGCGUAAAGCGUGCGCAGGCGGUUAUGCAAGACAGAUGUGAAAUCCCCGGGCUCAACCUGGGAAUUGCGAUGGAGACUGCAAGGCUAGAAUCUGGCAGAGGGGGUAGAAUUCCACGUGUAGCAGUGAAAUGCGUAGAGAUGUGGAGGAACACCGAUGGCGAAGGCAGCCCCCUGGGUCAAGAUUGACGCUCAUG